rnacentral:rRNA from 1 species
UGGCUAACUCCUACGGGAGGCAGCAGUGGGGAAUAUUGCACAAUGGGCGCAAGCCUGAUGCAGCGACGCCGCGUGAGGGAUGGAGGCCUUCGGGUUGUAAACCUCUUUCGCCAGUGAAGCAGGCUUGCUCCUUGUGGGUGGGUUGACGGUAGCUGGAUAAGAAGCGCCGGCUAACUACGUGCCAGCAGCCGCGGUAAUACGUAGGGCGCGAGCGUUGUCCGGAAUUAUUGGGCGUAAAGAGCUCGUAGGCGGCUGGUCGCGUCUGUCGUGAAAUCCUCUGGCUUAACUGGGGGCUUGCGGUGGGUACGGGCCGGCUUGAGUGCGGUAGGGGAGACUGGAACUCCUGGUGUAGCGGUGGAAUGCGCAGAUAUCAGGAAGAACACCGGUGGCGAAGGCGGGUCUCUGGGCCGUUACUGACGCUGAGGAGCGAAAGCGUGGGGAGCGAACAGGAUUAGAUACCCGAGUAGUCCAGCUGG